GCUGUUAUAGCUCAGUUUGGUAGAGCGCAUCCUUGGUAAGGAUGAGGUCCCGAGUUCAAAUCUCGGUAACAGCU
rnacentral:tRNA from 2 species